rnacentral:rRNA from 1 species
CUCUUUAGCUUGGCAUUUGAAUCGGCUUUGCUGUUGCGAAAUAAAGUGGCGGCUUCGGCUGCCGAGGGUCGAUCCAUUUGGGAAAUGUUGUGUACUUCGGUAUGCAUCUCAAUUGGACCUGAUAUCAUGCAAGAUUACCCGCUGAACUUAAGCAUAUUAAUAUGCGGAGGAAAAGAAACUAACAAGGAUUCCCAUAGUAACGGCGAGUGAAGCGGGAAGAGCUCAAGCUUAAAAUCUCCGUGCAAGUUUUGCGCGGCGAAUUGUAGUCUAUAGAGGCGUGAUCAGUGUGGGCGCUUGGGGCAAGUUCCUUGGAAGAGGACAGCAUGGAGGGUGAUACUGCCGUUCAUCCCUGAGUUGCUCUUGCGUACGAUCCGUUUUCUUUGAGUAGCGAUGUAAGGGAAUGCAGCGCAUAGUAGGUGGUAA